CACGAAAUUGAAAUUUGGUGUUCUCAAAUCGUAUAAACUUCGAAUAUUCGAAAUUAGUUUUCGAAGUGGCAAAAUAUAAAAACAUCUGAUUUUCUUGUCAAUACUAUUGCUUCAUAAUAAUUCAUUUGUAAAGAUUUAAAAUGCCGUCUGCUUUUAUAUUGAGUUUUUUUAGAAUUAAAGCGAAGAAAAAUACAAAAUGAAAAUAUAAGACGACGCAAUUUAAGAGAUGCUUCAGAUAUAUUGUCAAUACCAGACACUGCAUUCAUAGCAUUUUUCCGGGUGAACAAAACUGCCUUUGUCAUGAUAUUGGACAAAAUUUCGCCUCAAAUGAGCAAAUGUACAAUACCGGAAAUAAUUCAAUUAGCCGCAACACUACGAUUUUUGGCGGUUGGUGCUUACCAAGGUGUUGUGGGCAAUGACUUAACCUUCGCUUUACCAUAGGUUUUUUAUGUACAAGGUUUACCAAUACCCACCCGGGUGACACUACACUUCUAUAAAUAUAUGCGACGAACGAAAUUUUAAAAAAUUGAAAAAACCUUAUAAAAAGUUUAAAAUGGUUCUAUUAAAUUCUAUAGAACUCUAGAAUUUGUUCAGUGAGUAGAAAUUUCAUUUAAAUCGAAACAAAAUUAAAAAAAAUAUUAAACCAAUAAAAUCGAUGUGGUCACCCGGGUGGGUAUUGGUAAAGUGAAGGUUAAAUAUAAGUAUAGGCCGAAGCACUAUGUCAAAGAUCAUGUGGAAGGUCAUUGAUUUGAUGGAAAGCACACUAUGUUCGACUUGGAUAACACUAAAGAUGACAGAAACUCAAACAAGGGCGUCAAAAUUACAUUUUUUGGAAAAAUUUGGUAUACCAAACGUAAUUGGGUGCGUUGAUGGCACCCAUGUCAGGAUAAUUCGACCAUCAUCAGACGAAUCCCUUUUUUAUAAUCGUAAAGGGUACUUUAGUAUCAACGCCAUGAUCGUUUGUGAUUAUGAAAUGCGGAUUAGAGCAGUGGAUGCUUGUCACCCUGGUUCAUGUCACGAUGCCUUUAUCUGGCGGAUUAGUGAGGCCAACAAAUUUUAUCGUCGAAAAUACGAAAAUGGUGAAAAUAUAAUUGUCCUUGGGGACUCUGGAUAUGGAUUGGAACCAUAUCUUAUGACGCCGUACAGAAACCCAGAAUUUGGUACCAAUGAACAUUUAUUUAAUCAAAAACACUGUUCUGGCCGUAAUAUAAUUGAAAGGACAAUUGGUAAUUUAAAAAGCCGCUUUCGUUGCUUACUAAGCACAACACUACAUUAUACACCGCAGAAGGUGGUGAAAAUAAUUAAUGUAUGUUGUGGAAUGCACAAUAUUUGCAAAAGCCACAACAUUCCAAUGGAUGACAUCAUAGUUCAAGACACAGAUCAUGGAGAAUAUUCAAUGGAAGAUGAUGGCAUUCCUGAAAACAUUGUAGAAGAUGCAGUAACAAUACGCAACAACAUCGCCAACAGUUUAAGAUCAAAUUAAAUUUGUUUUAUUAUAUAAAAUCACUUUUAUUAAAAAAAAUAACACAAAAUUUUUUGUACUGAAUUCAGGUCAUAACAACUUAAAAUAUUAAUUCAAAAUGUAUACAUUUUUGUAUAUUUUUAUAUAAAAUAAUCUUUAAAUAUAAGAGAAUGAAACUAUCCCUCUUAUUUAGCAAAUCAA